GGGAAGGGGCCGGCGGGAGCUGCUCUCGGCUCGGCGGUCGCGGCGCCCGCAGUCUGGAGGCGCACCGGAGUGGCCGGAGCGCCCCCCGCGGGAGCCCGCAGCCACCCGGGACGCGCAUCCAGCCGUGGCGCUUCGGGCCGGGCACGCUGCGCCCGGGGGCUCUGCAGACCCCGCGCAGCCGCCGCUUCGGAGCUUGUGCGGCGCGGGCUGGCCAGUGGGGCGGCCAGGGCCCGGCCCGCCUCCCUAGCGCCCGCCCGGCUUCUCCCCCUGGCGGUGGGAGCCUCGGCGGCCGCUGGCUACACUAGGCGCACUGAAGCCCGAGCCGAGCCGAGCCCGAGCCGCCGCCGCCGCCGCCGCCGCCGCUGCGCGCGGCUCCCGGGCUCCCUCCCAGCGCGCCGGCCGGGGUGUGGGGGGCGGCGGGCCGGAGGGGCGAGGGCGGGCGAGGGGGCGCGCACGGGGGUUGGCGCGGAAGACAGGACCCUCAGCCUCGAGGGAGUCCCUCGGUGACCAGGCAAAAAACAGUUCCCUCCAGCUGGUCCUCAGAUGGGCACAUCUAUUAGCCUCUGCUCUUGUAAGAAGUUAGCUGCAGAACCCACAUGUGAAUUCUUGUAGGACUGUGGAGAAGGUCAAAUGGGAGCUUGGAUGUGGAAGCUCUUUGGCAACCAAGAAACACUCUGCAAAUGAAAAGGGUGAGAAAACAGCCAGAAAGCACUAUCUAUAAAUCAGAAAACAGGCCCUCACCAGACGUUGAAUCUGCUAGUGCCUUGAUCUUGUACUUUCUACCCUCCAAAGUUGUCAGGAAAGCCUGAACUUUCUCAUCCAACACCUGUUCAAGUCAGAGGAUGCUGAUUAAUUCAUGAUGGAAAGGUAUCAAUUUUCACAGACCAGACCUCUACAUUCUUGAAAUGCUCUUCUCAUGGGAGACAUUAAAUAAGCUUUGAAUUAACUGAAGAACCAAUGGUGUGAUCCCUGGAUACUGACAAUUGUUGCCCAAGAAACCUCCUCCCCUUGCCAUGGGACUGCUGGGCACCCAAAUAAUGCACCCAAAUAAUUUGAUAGCUCUUGUUACACAGCUCUUCUUGGACUAAAAGGCCCUCAGCAUUCCUGGCAAUUUCUACACUCCUGGAGCUUCAUCUGGUAAUUCCCUGACUUAUGCAGCACCACCCCACUCCUAGAGUGUCUUUAGAGGUGUUUGCUUUCUUCUUAAAGCUAUUAUCCUCUUGUUCUUGGAGGGCUUAUUCUUGGGGGACUUGGAGGGCUUAUUAAACCCUAAGAGUCAAUCAUUAGCAACCAAAAAAAUUAAUUCUAUGCUCCCAAGGUCAGGGACAGCAUAAUCUUAAAAUACAGUGGUUAGGGAAAAUAUUUGCAUAAUGUAUUUUUAGGAAUGUACAGGAAGGGAAGGCAAAUAUAGAGGAGGAAGGUGAUUUAAGAGAGUAGAGCAGAAAAUAUAAAGCUGCCACAAAAAUUUGGAAUUGCAGAAUCAGCUAAAGGUAGGUGUUUGUUCUGCUUACUAACAAAGCAUACACCAAAUACAAUUAUUUGGAAGCCUAUAAUUUUUUAGGGUAAAAUUUUUUAGGUGUUCUUCUAGUCUUACCCCAUUAUUUUAGAGAUAUAAAAACUGAAUCUCAAAGAGGAGAAGUGACUUGGUUAAGCUCACACAGAAACUAGAAUCCUAUAUCUUUUGUAUUGUAUCAGAUGCUUUUAUGAUUACUGUAUGCUGCCUUUUUAAGGCCUGUGAUCUCCAGAGAGAGGUUUCAGCUUUUUGAUAUGCCAAACUAAGGAAUUCUUAGUUGGCCUUUUUUUUCUUCUUGAGUUUGUGCUUGCUUAACCUAAUGAGUAGGUAAUAACCCUAUGUUUCUAAAUUUCUUAAAUCAGACUUUUUGGGGUAUGAAAUUUUGUUAAUGAUUCUGUUAAGAAAAAAUAUCUUUUACACUUUUUCGGCUGAAAGGCAAGGGGAUGCACGAUGGAGGUUAGAAAUACACAGCUGCCAUAGUCUAAUUCUUGUAUAGAUAUUAUUGAGUGAUUAAUGAUUGAGAAAAUUGCCUACUGCUUCUCUUUACUUUUCUGUAUUUAGCAGAUGACCUUUUCUUUUUGAUCCAUAAUGAGAAUAUGAGAGAAAAUGAAAGGAAAGUGCAACAUCACAAUAGGCUAAGAAUCUACAUAAUUAAAUGCCCAAACACUUUAUCAUUCAAGAUCCUUCAUGAUCUUGCCCAUCUCUUUUCCCAAUGAUAUCCCAUAUUAUCUCCCUUUGCAUAUAGUUUAAUCCAUACACCAAAUAACUUGCUGUUCUUUAAAUGCUUUGUUUUUCUACCUCCACAUCUAUUCUCAUACUGCUUUCUCUACCUGACAUUCUCUGUCCCCAAACUGUUGCUAUUUAAAUUUGACUUAGCUUGGGUUACCUGAGAUAUAGACACUGAGACAAACUUUUAAGGUUGAGUAAUUUAUUAGAGAGUAAAGGUAGGAGAAUGAUUAAGUGAAAGAAUGAAAGAAAGGUUAUUUUGGAAGAACGUGUUAUCAAGACAGCUUUCAGUUCCAGGAAGCAACUGAAGCAUAGUCCCACAGGGAAAGCUCUUGAAGCCCAGACAAGCUAUUCUGCCUUAAAAUUACAUUACCCAAGGGGUAAGGGAACUAAGUAUUUAUACACAAACACUCCUCAGAUAUUGCUUGAGAGUCGCUCCUAGAGACAUUAAUUCCAGAAGCUUCCAACCUGUUGAACACCUAGGUGGUAGAGUGAGUUUCACCAGUGAGAGGAUACCCUUAACAAAGAACUACUGGUGCUAGGAGUUAGAAGUUGGGCCAAAGGCAAACGGAUGCUAACAGGGAGGUAAUAUGAGAGGCACUGACAGCAUCUGCUACAAAACCGUCCCCCAAAGAAAAGAUGGGAUACAGCUGGCUCUGCUGCAGUUAAAAAGCAACCAAGUAUUAAUGGCUUAAUACCACGAACGUUUAUUUUUCACUUCUUGUUAUCAGGAGACCUCUGUGGAUUCUAUAAUUCAAAGAACCAGGCUGAUGGCUGGUGGAAUAGCUACCAUGUCAAACAUGGCAUGAUGCUGCAUCAGAGGGAAAAAUAAGCUCUUGCAUUGGCAAUGAAAUGUCUACCCUGUAGUGACUUGUGCUACUUCCACUCACAAAUGAUUGCCCAGAGCUACUUACCUGGCUCCAAUCUACCACCGGGUGUGUACACACAAUCUACUAUGUACCUAGACGAUGAGAGAAACAAAUGAUUAAUGAUGACCACAUCCCAAGACUAACAAUAAUUGCAGAUUAAUCAAUGACUUAAACAAAAAUGUGGCCAUUGAAGGAAUAGAAAAUAUAGUGAGUUUAGUGUAAAUUUAAAAGUGAUUUAUAAGUAACAUACCAAAUCCAGAAACUAUAAGAAAAGAGAUUGACAAACAUAAAUACAUAAAGCUUUAAAAAAAAUUUAAUGUAAUAAAAAUGGCAUAAAAAGAGUCAAAAGUUUUUAAAAAAUAUGUUAAUGCAGUAGAUUAGGUGCUAUUUUUCUUAAUGUACUAAUAACUUAAUAAGAUAAAUUUUGUAUCUAGAAGAAAAUGAACGUGGAAAUAGGCAAUUCACAGAUAAUGGCAUUCGUCUGGCCAAUGCAAAAUGUGACAUUCAGAAUAAAAUAAAAAUGAAAUACUGUUUUUCAGCCAUCACCUGAGCAAAACUACAAAGAUACAGUGAGACUCAGGCAUUCCCAUAUACUGUGGAUGAGAGGGCAAAGACCUUUAACCUCUAAUUUUAUUUCUAUUUUAAACUUGUGUGUUAAAAUUUUAAAUGCUGAUGUCCUCUUGACCCAGUAAUUUUAUGUCUAAGAUUUGAAUCUGGAGAUAAACUUGAAUAAAUGCAUCCGGAUUUGUGUAUAAGUAUUAAUAUAGUUUAGAUGUGUGUUCCCACCCAAAUCUCAUAUUGAAAUGUAAUCCCAAGUGUUGGAGGUGGGUCCUGGUAUGAGGUGAUUGGAUCACGGGGGUGAAUUUCUCAGGAAUGGUUUAGCAUCGUCCCCCAUGGCCCUGUCCUUGCAUAGUGAGGUGAGUUCUGAGAUCUGGUCAUUUAAAGUGUGCAGCACCUCCCUGCCUCACUCUCUCUUGCUCCUGCUUUUGCUAUGUGAGGUGUGAGAUACUGCUGUGCCUUCCACCAUGAUUUGAAGCUCCCUGAGGCCUCCCCAGAAGGAGAUGCUACCAUGCUUCCUGUACAGCCUGUAGAACUGUGAGCCAAUUAAACCUCGUUUCUUUAUAAAUUACCCAGUCUCACGUAUUUCUUUAUGGCAACGCAAGAGCAGACUAAUACUAAUAUGUUCAGUGAAACAUUAUUUGUCAUUAUAACACCUCCACCCCUCAGUGUCCAUAAAUAGGAGUUUAGCUGAAUGAUUUAUAGUAUAUACUUAUAAUGAAGUAUUAUACAGCCAUUGAAAAGCCUGAAAUAGAUUUUUGUGGGCUGAAACAUAAAGCCUAAGAUAGAAUAUUGAUGAAAAAUGAAAUAACAAAAAGCAAUCUAUAGUGUGAUUCCACUUGCGUGUGUGUCUUGCAGAUGCAUAGACAAUUUGUGAGAGAACACGAGAGAGUGUUAAGAGUGGCAGCCUGUGGGGAGGGCUAAUAGGAGUUCAGGGAGAUACAGCGGGGCUGUAGAGGAUGUUAAUUAUUUUUUGGCCAUGCUCACUUGUCAUUCCUUGUCUUUAUAAACAAAUCCCCUUCUCACUCACAUAGCAUGCUUUGAAGAAGGUGCUUCAUUACUUCAACUCCAGAGAGGGAAGAUGAGACCCAAGCCUGGUGAUAAAGACCUCAAGUAUGAGUUUCAUCUCAUCUUUGAAUUCUUCAGAUCACCUGCUCAUAUUAGGUCAGAUGUUUGCUGAAUUCAGUUCUGAGCUUUUGAACCAAAAGCAGAUCUUCAGAACAAGAAAGAAGAUAAUAAAAGAGAAACACGAAGAAACUGAAGAUGAUUGGAGGAAUACAAAUCAAGAUGAUUAGACCUAGCAGAGGGCUGGCUGGAUGGCAUUUAUGUUGACGAUGGACUCCUACACAGAGAAUGAUCAUGGUCUAGGACGUAGUAGUGAUGCAAUCAUCAUUUCUUAAAUGAUUUUUUAAAACAAGUGAAUGAAUGACCAAUUACAUAUCUUCCCUGAGCCAAUAAAAUAUAUUAAAAGUAUAGGCCUGGACACAGCAGCUCAUGCCUGUAAUCCAAGCACUUUGGGAGGCUGAGGUGGGCAGAUCAUGAGCUC